GAGAACGCUUCAACUUGCUGAAGCAAGUAAAGUGGCGCACUGGGUGAGUAACGCGGUGGUGUAACCUACCUCCGAAUCGGGGAUAGGAUGUGCGAAAGCGAUGCUAAUACCGGAUAAAAUCCCCGUAGACUUCGGCCUCGUGGCAUCAAAGCGUGGUCUCUCCAUGAGAAGCUACUGUUUGGAUGACGGGCCCGUGUACCAUUAGCUUGUCGGUAGGGUAAUGGCCUACCAAGGCCGCGAUGGUUAGCUGGUCUGAGAGGAUGAUCAGCCACACUGGAACUGAGGGAUGCGUCCAUACUCCUACGGGAGGCAGUCAUGUGAGGAAUUUUGCGCAAGUGAGGGAAACCCCUGACGCAGCAAACGCCGCGUGAGUGAUGAAGGCCUUCGGGUCGUAAAAGCUCUGUCUAGUGGGAAGAACCUUUCCCGGACGAAUAAGACGGGAACAUUGAUGGUACCACUGAAGGAAGCACCGGCUAACUCGCGUGCCAGCAGCCGCUGGUAAUACGGGCGGGUGCAACGCGUUACUCGGAUUCACUGGCGCUGUAAAGAGCGCGUAUGCGGACCUCUUGUGUCAGGUGUGAAAGCCCGGGGGUUAACCUCGG
rnacentral:rRNA from 1 species